rnacentral:rRNA from 1 species
UACGGAGGAUCCAAGCGUUAUCCGGAAUUACUGGGCGUAAAGAGUUGCUUGGCUGGUUAGUAAAGCGGAUGGUGAAACCUGGUGGCUCAACCAUACAGACUAUUAUUCGAACUCACUAACUCGAGAGUGGUAGAGGUAACUGGAAUUUCUUGUGUAGGAGUGAAAUCCGUAGAUAUAAGAAGGAACACCAAUGGCGUAGGCAGGUUACUGGACCAUUUCUGACACUAAGGCACGAAAGCGUGGGGAGCGAACCGG